rnacentral:rRNA from 1 species
GACGAACGCUGGCGGCGUGCUUAACACAUGCAAGUCGAACGGAAAGGCCCCUUCGGGGGUACUCGAGUGGCGAACGGGUGAGUAACACGUGGGCAACCUGCCCCUAGCUCUGGGAUAACUCCGGGAAACCGGUGCUAAUACCGGAUACAAACCUCGAAGGGCAUCCGUCGAGGUUGAAAGUUUUUCGGCUAGGGAUGGGCCCGCGGCCUAUCAGCUUGUUGGUGGGGUAAUGGCCUACCAAGGCGACGACGGGUAGCCGGCCUGAGAGGGCGACCGGCCACACUGGGACUGAGACACGGCCCAGACUCCUACGGGAGGCAGCAGUGGGGAAUAUUGCGCAAUGGGCGAAAGCCUGACGCAGCGACGCCGCGUGAGGGAUGACGGCCUUCGGGUUGUAAACCUCUUUCAGCUCCGACGAAGCGAAAGUGACGGUAGGAGCAGAAGAAGCACCGGCCAACUACGUGCCAGCAGCCGCGGUAAAAC